GGUCUGAGAGGAUGAUCCGCCACACUGGGACUGAGACACGGCCCAGACUCCUACGGGAGGCAGCAGUGGGGAAUAUUGGACAAUGGGGGGAACCCUGAUCCAGCCAUGCCGCGUGUGUGAAGAAGGCCUUUUGGUUGUAAAGCACUUUAAGCGAGGAGGAGGCUACCGAGAUUAAUACUCUUGGAUAGUGGACGUUACUCGCAGAAUAAGCACCGGCUAACUCUGUGCCAGCAGCCGCGGUAAUACAGAGGGUGCGAGCGUUAAUCGGAUUUACUGGGCGUAAAGCGUGCGUAGGCGGCUUUUUAAGUCGGAUGUGAAAUCCCUGAGCUUAACUUAGGAAUUGCAUUCGAUACU
rnacentral:rRNA from 3 species